rnacentral:rRNA from 1 species
GUCUCUUAGAAAUUAUUAAGAGUCAAGCCUGCCCAGUGAUUGCUUUAUUUAACGGCCGCGGUACCCUGACCGUGCAAAGGUAGCAUAAUCAUUUGCCUUUUAAUUGGAGGCUGGUAUGAAUGGUUCGACGAGAGUAAAGCUGUCUCAUACACAUUAACUAGAAACUAAUUUAAAGGUGCAAAAGCCUUUAUAAAACAAAAAGACGAGAAGACCCUAUUGAGCUUUAAUUUUAAUGUGCAUUAACUUUAUAUUUAUAUAAAUAUUUGCUCAAUAAAAAUUUUAAUUGGGGCGAUUAAGGAACACAAUAAAGCUUCCUGAUUUUAAUAUUAAAUAUUUAUAAAUUAAAUCGAUCCAGCAAUGCUGAUCAACAAAAUGAGUUACCAUAGGGAUAACAGCAUAAUUCUUUUUCAGAGCUCAUAUCGAAAAAAGAGAUUGUGACCUCGAUGUUGGACUAGGGUAACAAAAAGGUGUAGCAGCUUUUUUGCUUGGUCUGUUCGACCAAUAAUUCCCU